rnacentral:tRNA from 1 species
AUUUAAAUAGCUUAAAAAGAGCAUAAUAUUGAAGAUAUUAAGGUAAUUGUAAAGUUUUUAAAUA